rnacentral:lncRNA from 10 species
GCCUAACCCAGGACAGGCUCUCCAGGAAGACUUCCUGGAGGAGGCGGGCCUCAGCUGGACCGCAGGCGGCCAGGAGGAGCUGGGGGUGGUGGUGGUGGGGGCGAGGGUGAAGGUGGUUGGAGAUCGGGGGAGAGUGUGAAGAGGAGGACGAGGCCCGGACCUGGGCCUUUCCAGGCAGGCGGCCCAAACGGAUCUACGCAGCCAGCCACCCCUCCCAGCUGGGGUCGGCGCGUCCCCCUCCAGGCCGGUGUGGGGAGAGUCUGGCCGUCUGGAGGCCCGGGGCAGCAGGACUGGGAGAGCCGCGGUCUCCUUCCUGUCCCCUGCUCCCGGCAGACCCGCGUUUCCAGGGCCCUGUCCUUUACCCGGGGCGGCCGUCCUCCCAUGCCCAGCCUCUGCGAGGCCACCGCUCCCCGCAGCGCCGGUGUCACGGCCCCACGGAGGGCCAGGAGCCUCCAGGGCGCCCCAGCGGCGGGGUGGACGCUGCCAGGCGGUACCACGGCAGGGCCCGCGCCGCCCAUCCCGCGCCACGCCCCCACCUCCGCCGGCACCGUUGCCAGCAGCCCGGCUGCGAGCCCGCCGGCGCCCGGCCACCCGCCCGCUGCGUCGCCUGGCAGCGCGCCUGCAGCUGAGUCAGCCUGUUGCAACCUGCUGUAUGAAGAACACCUUUGAAGGUAUCAGACGUAUCUGUCUUUUCUCUUAAAUACAAUGCACAGCAGCAGGAAAGGGCCUGCUCACCUGCUGGCCAGAGGCUUCCUGGCUCUCAGCCUCCUUGACUACUUUUUUUGAGACAGGGUCUUGCAGUGUCACCCAGGCUGGAGUGCAGUGGCGCGAACACGGCUCACUGCCGCCUCAACGUCCCAGGUGCAAGUGAUCAUCCUGCCUCAGCCUCCCAAGUAGCUGGGACUACCGGCAUGGACCGCCACACCUGGCUAAUUUUUUAAUUUUUUGUAGAGAUGGGGUCUCACUAUGUUGUUCAAGCUGGUCUCAAAAAACUCCUGGGCUCAAGCGAUCCUCCUGCCUCAGCCUCCCAAAGUGCUGGGAUCCACAACUCCCAAUGAUUCCCAGGGACCUGAGACAGAGCCUCCAUGGGCAAUAAACACACCAUGGUUUGUGUUUGUUUGUGUUUGGAUGUGCAUUGAAUCCUGGUAACUGUGAUUACCUGGGGUGGGAGGGCACUGGGGAUGAGGGAGGACUUUUCACUGUACUUUGCUGCUGUUUGAAUUUUUGUCACGUAUAUAUUACUUAAAAAUGUUUAUUUAAAAGCAUUUCAGACCUACAAAAAGGUGUCAGAAACAAAUGUGACACACAGUCACGCUGCCUUUCUCCCCAUUCCACACCCUGCAGAAAUCUCUAGCUAGCUUCAGUACUUCUCUGAGGAGUGAGGAGUGGAUGAAGCCUCAGAAUGCUUUAUUUUAUAUAUAAUUUUUUUUCCUUUUUUUUUUUUUUUGAGAUGAAGUCACACAGUAUUGCCCAGGCUGGUCUCAAAUUCCUGGGCUCAAGCAAUCCUCCUGCCUUGCUCAAGCAUGAGCCAGUAUGCCUGGCCAAGGAGCUGAUUUCUGAUCUAGGUCUUGAAAUUUUUUUUCUUUUUCUUUUCUUUUCUUUCUUUUUUUUUUUUUUUUGGUAAACUUUUGUUUUAGGUUCACGGUGUAUGUGCAGGUUUGUUAUAUAGGUAAACUUGUAUCAUGGGGGUUUGUGGUACAGAUUAUUUCAUCACCCAGGUACUAUGCCUAGUACCCAAUUCAAAUUCUUUUCUUUCUUCUUCUUCUUCUUUUUUUUUUUUUUGAGGAAGGGUCUCACUCUGUGGGCUGGCGUGCAGUGGCGCGAUCUCAGCUCACUGCAACCUCUGAAUCCCAGGCUCAGGUGAUCCUCCCACCUCAGCCUCCUAAGUGGCACACACCACCAUACCCAGCUAAUUUUUCUAUUUUUAAUAGAGAUGGGGUUUCUCCAUGUUGCCCAGGCUGGUCUCGAACUCCUAGGCUCAAGCAAUCCACCUGCUUUGGCCUCCCAAAGUGCUGGGAUUACAGGCAUGAGCCACCUUGCCCGGCCCCAAUUCGGAAUUCUUAACACAGUCUUCUGAGUAGUGUCACCAGUUGAUCAUAUCAGAAUUUUUGAAAGCCGUUGGCUGUCCUGUAGACUGUCCCCUCCGACAUUGUCCACAGCACCAAAUCUGGCCUGCAGAUGGUGUGGGGCCAUCUCAUCAGCAGGCAGGUCUGUCCCAGGUCCUGAUUCUGCCCAGGGAACUGGCAGUUCCUGAGAAGUGAGAGGUAUGCAGUUACCUCUCAACACCUCUUCAGUCCGUAUCCCCCAGAGCAUUUAAGGUCUUUCUGGGGAAAUAUAACAAAAACCAAGAGUAAUUAAGAUGGGACUUGGACUCUGGCCUGGAGAAGAUUCUAAUGUAGCUGGAGAACAAUACAAAGCAGCAAAAAUAAGAUUGCUUAUGUGUUGGGUGUACGUGUUUAAUUAUGUAGGCCUUUGGGCAUUAUUUGGUCUCAGAAUCCUGGGGCUUGGAAGGCCCUGGAGGAGCCUCCUCUAGGACAUGGGACCUGAAAAAUCUCCUAGCUGGUGGUUGCCACUGUGAAUCCCUCUCUCCAGGACAGAGAAACCUGACAUUAUCUGGGCCCCCACAUUUGAUCUGGCUUGUUCUAAAUCAACUCUUGAGAGCCUGCCGUAUAAAGAAGAAAGUGCCCUUUGGCUCACUGGGAGUAAGAAAUACAGCCGUCAGGAGAAACAGAAAGUCCGUGCCUGCUGCAGGCAUCCUCCUGGUCCACAGGAAACUCCACCAGGAAAGGCAAUUAUUACAGAAGAGAACACUGCUUGGAGUUGUGGACACUGUUGCCUACCCAGCUUCCAUUCUCCCCUUCCUUCCUAAUAGCACCCCAGUUUUAGCACCCCAGUUUUGUUCAGGUAUCUGCCUGUCUACACAUGCUUCAGGGAAAGCUGACCCAUGCUCAGCCCCUUGCCUGCAGCUCCUGAGUGGGGGUUGGGAAGCUGAUUUUUCAGAGAGUGAUCCCAUUGCAUUUGCCAACUUGUGCAUGGCAUUUCCUGGCCCAAGGUUUACUUCAGGAAUGGGUUUGUAAUCAAAUUCAGCCCAGUGAAAUAUGAGGAUAAGUUUGGAGACUUCUGGGGAAGAAACGUGCUCCUGUUCUUUAAGGAAAGAACUACCAGAAGAGCCCUCAUUCUCCUCCAGAGUGGCAAGCAGAUAUGGGAACUGAAACUUCAAGAACCAUUUGGCUAUCAGGAAGGAGGCAGCCUGACAACAAAGACAGCCCCAGAAGAGGAUGUGAUUAAGGAAAUCAGAGAGAAACAGAGCCAGGUUGCUGGAUCAUUCUGAUCCUGAAGCCUCCAUUACAUCUAAUCACAGACUGCUGUGGUUGGCAGAGGGGUGCAUCUUUGAUUGCCGCUGGGGACGAAAGCAGAGUCCCGAAAGCAGAUGUCCCAGCUGGGUCCCGCACCUCUCCCUGCCAUUGCCCCCUGGGUCCCACUGAUGUCCUGUUUCCAGUCCAGGAUCCCAUUCAGAAUCCAACAUGGCACUUGUCUCCUCCCAUGUGGGGCAGUUCCCCCGUCUUUCCUUGUCGCUGUGACACUGGCCAGCUAUUUUAUAGGACAUUUCUCACUUUGGAUUUGUCUGAUGUUUUCUCAGUAUUAGAUUGAGGAUAUGCAUUUUUGGCACAAAUGCCAAAGAAGUGAUGCUGUGCGCCUCUCAGGACACUGUCAAGGGCGGGGUGAUAAUAUGUCUCAUUACUGGUCAUGGUAGCUUGGAUCACUUGGUUAAAGUGGUGUCUCUGAAGUUUCUCCACUGGAAAGUUGCUAUUUUCCCUUUGUAAUUAAUAAAUGUCCUGUGGGGGAGAUGCUUUAUGAGUAUGUAAAUAUCCUGUUUCUCAUCAUAUUUUUGCCUACUCAUUUUAGCAUCGGUUGAUGAUUCCUGGCUGCAACAGUUAUUACCAUAGUUUUUAGCAAAUGGUGAUUUUCUUUGUAUAUCACUCUUUCUGUAUUUAUUGAUUGGAAUUCUACUGUAAAAAAGAACUCUUUCCUCCAUGUGUAUUUAUUCCAUUAUUUUUAUAUCUGUAUGAACUCUUGGAUGUUUCUCUUAUUCUAUGGGUUAUAAUUCAUUGCAAUUAUUUUUACUCAAAUUGUACCAGAUUUGGGAUCUGUACCCGAUACUGGGAGCUCCUUAGUUGGCUCCUACGUGCUCCUAUGUCCUUGGACAUGCCCCAUCCUUCUUUGAUCCCUUCCUUACAUUCUGGCACAAGAUGCUCCAGGCUCAUCUGGUAUUCUCCCUGUCUCAGCCGUGGAAUCAAUUGUUUCUCUAAGAACCCUGACUUGUUUUGCUGGAGGAUGAUAUUGAGAAAGUGAGAUCUGGGCACCAGUCAGAUUUAACUUGGUCAAAUGAAACUGCAGAACUGUGCUGACAGGCGGGACAGUGUGGGAAGGAGGGGUCAGACUGCAGGGUCCAGGUGAGGGGCAGAGGGACAGACAGACUCUGAGAGGGAGGGCAGCUUGGCCUCUCAGUCCUUGGCUGGGAGCCCCUGUGGGGAGCACGGCUUGUGGAUUCAGCACUGGCAGAGCUUGCCUCUAGGGUGUACACCUGGAGGCUGCAGUUGGGAGGGAGAGGAAAAACUUUUACUUUUUAAAAAUCAUAGGCAUCUAUUAUUAAUACUUUAAACAUUAAAUAAUAAAAGCAGAAAAGGUCUACUUUUCUAUUUUUUUUUAACAAUGUCUAAAAUUUUUGUUUCCUUUUCUCCAAUUGAAGAACAGUGGAGUGGACGCAGAUGGACUGUCAAAUAACAUGGGCUCUCACUGUGCCACGCGCACUGGUGCGGUGGGUCUUUGUGCAGGGAUCCAGCUGCACUCCAGGGCCCGAUCAUGACAUCCUUAAGGCUCAGAGCCAGAGGGGCUGCAGAGACCAUCUUAGGCUGGGGCUUUCAAACUCUCCUGAUUGCCACCCACAGCAAAGAAAAAGUCUAU